rnacentral:lncRNA from 1 species
GGGGUUGAGGAUGAAUGAUCACUACUAGAUAGACUUAGUAGUUGGGUUACAUUACAUGCUUUUAGCAUAGUGUGAGACAUGUAGUAUACGUGGUUGCCAUAUUAGAACUACAACAUUAUGUAUUGACAAAGGUUAACAACAUUAAACUAGUGUGAUUGGACUUAAUUGUAAUGAUAGAAUAGAUGUACAUUUUGGUUGACAUCAUGCUUAAUUGAGACACAGUAGACUAGCAUUUCAUUUAUGCUUUCUUUCAGCAGUUUAUGUAUAUGCUCCUUAUUGCUUUUAUUAUUAUCGUUACUUACCCUUGUUUUUGGGGCCUAGUGGAGCAAGAGCUGAGGUCAGUAAUUGCCCACUGGGAACUAUAAAUUAUAGUUCUCAC